rnacentral:tRNA from 1 species
GAGCGAUGGCUCCAUGGUUAAGAGCACUGGCUGCUCUUCCAGAGGACCUGGGUUCCAUUCCCAGCGCUCA